rnacentral:rRNA from 1 species
CGUACACUCCUGCGGGAGGCAGCAGUGGGGAAUAUUGGACAAUGGGCGCAAGCCUGAUCCAGCCAUGCCGCGUGAGUGAUGAAGGCCCUAGGGUUGUAAAGCUCUUUCACCGGAGAAGAUAAUGACGGUAUCCGGAGAAGAAGCCCCGGCUAACUUCGUGCCAGCAGCCGCGGUAAUACGAAGGGGGCUAGCGUUGUUCGGAAUUACUGGGCGUAAAGCGCACGUAGGCGGAUCGAUCAGUCAGGGGUGAAAUCCCAGGGCUCAACCCUGGAACUGCCUUUGAUACUGUCGAUCUGGAGUAUGGAAGAGGUGAGUGGAAUUCCGAGUGUAGAGGUGAAAUUCGUAGAUAUUCGGAGGAACACCAGUGGCGAAGGCGGCUCACUGGUCCAUUACUGACGCUGAGGUGCGAAAGCGUGGGGAGCAAACAGGAUUAGAUACCCUAGUAGUCCC